CAUGUCCAUAGGGCGUUAAUGACGUCAUUUAUUCAAUAUACAACCGAUAUUUAAGAUGGUUUCAAUUCCGUCUUGUGGACACCAACCAUCUACCAUACAUCCCCGUGUUGCGCUUCCCUCAUAUUUAAUCGCUCGGCAUCAUCUUCAAUGUUCUACUUUCUUCCAUUUUAAAAUUUUAAUUUUGCUCUGACUCAUGCUAAAAAGUGCAAACUUUCCUAUUUUCCAUCCAACUACUAAUUUACAUUUGUACAGAAAGUUACUGAUUCUUUAAAUUAAGUUUUUAAGAAAAAUGUUUAAAAUGAAGACUGUGGAAGUGAAAUAACAUUUUCGAUAAUCUCUGUCUCAUUCAAUUGUUUGGAUCAUUGAACAGACAUUCCUGAAUAAUAGAGAAAGAAGUCAUGGAACUUACACUCCGUUGGUGAACGAUCCCAUUAUAUGUGGAUUACUAGUGAAGGCAAUAGUUGGUAUCACAGCAAACGGAAGCUGCAUGCUCAUGACGGCAUUCAGAAGGUCAUUCAUAUCACUUAAUUCGUUAAUCUUACUAUAAUAUGCGACUAAAAAUGUGGGAAGGAUUGCGAUCAAUCGUGUGAAAACCACUCGCUUCCACCUGCUCCACUGAAGAUUCAAAAAACCCUGAAACAAAAAAUAACAGGAUUACGGCAAAGAAAAAAAAAAUAAGAGGCUCCUUGCUUUUUAAAUAGAUUGGGCUUCGGCUUCCUCAUUUAAAAGGAUGAGUUGGCAUACUUAGAGCAUCCUACUGUCUGAACAGACAAUAUUAGUUUCAUAUUCAAUCAACCGUUAGAGGAUUGAACUUUUGAGAUACGCUGUAACCCCUACAGGUUGUAGGGUGUAACUAACUGAUUAGGGGUCGAUUACAGAGUUUUGCACACUCCAUAUAGCACUAGAACUGGGGAAAGAAAAGAAUAGACAAAAGUCACAUCAGUCUGAAUGCUUCAAUCAUUUAGCUGUCCCAUUGGUUAGCGUGUAAAUCUCUGUUGAAUGGUGUAAUUUCUGGAUGUCAUUCUUUUCUUUCCCCACUUCUAAAAAUAGGAGAGAUAAAGUGGUAAAUGAGAAAAACCUUGAAUCAACAAAAGAAAACAAGAUUUAGACCACAAGUUAUGUAUUGAUUGAAAAUGAUCAGACAGAGUGGAUUAAAAAUAAAAAUAUAGAAAA